CGACCGGCGCACGGGUGAGUAACGCGUAUGCAACCUGCCUGAUACCGGGGUAUAGCCCAUGGAAACGUGGAUUAACACCCCAUAGUACUUUUAUCCUGCAUGGGAUGUGAGUUAAAUGUUCAAGGUAUCGGAUGGGCAUGCGUCCUAUUAGUUAGUUGGCGGGGUAACGGCCCACCAAGCCGACGGUGUCUAGGGGUUCUGAGAGGAAGGUCCCCCACACUGGAACUGAGACACGGUCCAG
rnacentral:rRNA from 1 species